GCUGAUCCCUGGCUGUGGAGAGGAUUCUCCCGAGCCCCUGAAAAAAAAAAAAGAUGCUACUUAAGAACGUGAGGCUGAGAGGCGGACUUGGUCAGAUCUGCCUGCGUGACAAGCUCAGGACAGGACGCUUCUGCCCUUGCAUUACUGUUGUAAAAGUUUCCACCCAGUCCCUGGUCGCACUGCGUUCCCAUCCCGGCAGAUGUGAACUCAAAAACUUCCUCCGCUGUGCAGUUUCAAUUGGCAGACACACCCUGUACCUGAAUGACUCAGAAGGAGGCAGAAUGAACAAACAACAGACCCCUGACUUCUGGGAUUUUGUGAGUUUGCCAAAAAAAAAAAAAAAAGAAGUGACAGUUAAUUCACAGCUGUUUUAAAGCAUUCAUCGACAGCGACGCACCCAAUACAUACCCACAGCUUCAACAACAGUACAGUGCAUAUAAUGUGGAAACCAAGAUAACGGUCCUCUAAGACUCCAGAGUAGAUCCUAAUUGGAUUUGAAGACUUAUUUCACUUAAAGGGGAAGAGGUAUAUUGUGUCUACCCAGCACAACAAAACGGGGGACUUGGCAUUCCCCCCCUUCUCCCGCCUCCACCCACACUAAUUUAUGCAUUCUUUAAAGCCAAAGGAAUCAAAGUGAAAUUUCACACCUAGUCUGUAUCAAGCAUGUGCUAGGUUAAUUUAACCUUACUGCUCUGUGAAGUAAGUAAGCAUUGCUGGCCAUUUUAUUGUUGAGAGAAGUGUCAUUCAGACAACUAAGGUGACUUGUAGAUUUCCCAGCUAGUGAGUGGCAGAGCUGGGUUCCAAAACCUAAAUAUUGCAAAUGCCUUGCCUUGUGGCUCAAACGCUAUCAGUCAAUAAAUAGUUAAGGAA
rnacentral:lncRNA from 1 species